rnacentral:rRNA from 1 species
UACGUAGGGGGCAAGCGUUGUCCGGAAUCAUUGGGCGUAAAGCGCGCGUAGGUGGCCCGGUAAGUCCGCUCUGAAAGUCAAAGGCUCAACCUUUGAAAGCGGGUGGAUACUGUCGGGCUAGAGUCCGGAAGAGGCGAGUGGAAUUCCUGGUGUAGCGGUGGAAUGCGCAGAUAUCAGGAGGAACACCAACGGCGAAGGCGGCUCGCUGGGACGGUACUGACACUAAGGCGCGAAAGCAUGGGGAGCGAACAGG